ACUGAGAUAUGACAGACAGCUCCAAGGAAUUAAGAUUGACUUUACGGAGCCAUUAAAACCCGUUGAGAAUGUUAGCCUGAUAUGUUGCUUACAGAGUGUCCAGCAGCCUUACCAGAUACAUGCAAGCAGUUCCUGACUCCUUUGCCCAGCUCACAGAUGAUUCUUACUACUCGAAACAAAUUUAUUCCAAUGUUCACUCUGGACUAUAUAGCAAUGGCCUCUGUAAUUUAUUUAUAGAGACAGAUAGUGACCAUUUUCAGUCCCGUAGCUAGGGACAUCUCUAUGGCCCCUGUCAGCUUGAAGAAGUUAUAGAAGAUGAGCCUUUCACCCUUCAACAACUUUAAAGAUUUAAAGAACAAAAAUUGAUCCGGGGGGAAAUGAUGAGGGAUUGAAGGAGAAAAAUGUUCACCUUGAGCCCAGUAGGUUGACCUACAGCCUGUAUAGUCUUGAUGAGGAUCAAAUGUGUGCUGGUUGCUACAUUCUAAAAGGGUCUCAUGACUGCCUAUACAUCUCAUCAAAGGUUAAUAGUGGGCUGAAUGAUAAGCACCAGAAAAUCUUGGAAAAGUAGUUUUAGGAGUAGAAAUUUUAAGAAAACAUUCAUGAUCUAAUCUUUCUUGCACAUCUCCUCCCCCUUGAGCACUAAGCAUACAACUGGCUUCAUAUAAUGUCCUGUCCUUGCGCUACUUAAAUAAACUUAAUAAGUUGUACCA
rnacentral:lncRNA from 1 species